rnacentral:tRNA from 1 species
GGGCGCUUAGCUCAGUGGUAGAGCAGCGUGUUUACACCGCGUUGGUCAGGGGUUCGAGUCCCUUAGCGCCCACUA